rnacentral:rRNA from 1 species
GGAGUUAGCCGGUGCUUCUUCUGUGAGUGAUGUCCUUCCUGCCGGUUAUUGACCCGCAGGCCUUCUUCCUCACUGAAAGUGCUUUACAACCCGAAGGCCUUCUUCACACACGCGGCAUGGCUGGAUCAGGGUUGCCCCCAUUGUCCAAUAUUCCCCACUGCUGCCUCCCGUAGGAGUCUGGGCCGUGUCUCAGUCCCAGUGUGGCUGAUCAUCCUCUCAGACCAGCUACGGAUCGUCGCCUUGGUGAGCCGUUACCUCACCAACCAGCUAAUCCGACAUAGGCUCAUCCGAUAGCGCGAGGCCCGAAGGUCCCCCGCUUUCCCCCGUAGGGCGUAUGCGGUAUUAGCCUGGGUUUCCCCAGGUUAUCCCCCACUACCGGGCAGAUUCCUAUGCAUUACUCACCCGUCCGCCGCUCGCCACCAGGGAGCAAGCUCCCCGUGCUGCCGCUCGACUUGCAUGUGUAGCUCGCCGCCACGCGUCAUCUGAGCAUAAUACAACUACUGA